UCUGACUGCCUCUGACGGUAGGUAAACCCUAGUGUACCACUGCCGCUUCAGACGCAUCUUCUGCCUCCACUUGCCGAUCCUAGACAGACGAAUGGGAACUGAAGAAUGCGUGUUAAUUAAUCUUGAUAGCAUGGUGAUUGUUCAUAGGAAUGUAUCACCAUGCAGAAGAUGAAAUCUGCGAGUGCCCUGGGUGGUAAAGAAGGAUCUGUUCCUCAAAACAUCUGGGGCCAAAGAUGCUGAACCAGACUCUAUACUGUGUGGUGUUCCGGAAGCUUGAGCGUGAAGGGCACAUCACCAAAGAAUUUAGACGGAAACUGUUCACGUGGUUUAGUCUGAGUUCAACCGAGCAUGAACGUAGAGCGGUUAACACUUUCAUCCGAACACUUGCCCUGAAAGCUUAGGUGAACAAUUGGUUGACUCAUUUGGCGAUAUUGUGUGGCUCGACAAAAAUAAUAACAAUAUGCAACUACUGGUGGUUGUGGACCUGACAAUGCGGUUUGUUGACGUGGUUUUUGGACUCCCAUGGAUGGUGUUCUUCCAGAAUCGGAAAUUUUUAGUUUGGCCUUGAAGAUUAGUUUUAAUGACAAUUCAGAGAGUUGGUUGUGAUGAUUGAUUAAGAUUUGAAGUUUUCCAUAAAGAUACACCUUUUUUAUAAUUUAUCUCUUGUAAUCGAUUCCUAUAAUAGAUUUAUUGCAUAAAUUGUUAUUCAAGGGUUUAACACCUGCUUCGGCUUUAGAAUGCUUGUAAUUAUUUGACAAGUGAUAAUGAAGAAAGAAGUAUAGGGUGAUAAAA